AUUUAUUUUAUUAUAUUUAUUUUUUGUUUAUUUAAUUAUUUAAUAAAAAUAAUUUUAUUGAAUUUUGUCUUAGUAUAUUUUGUAGAAUUGAUUUUUUAAAUUAUAGUUUAUUGGUAAUGUAAUUGUUUUAUGAAAUAUUAUUUUAAAUUUUUAAAAGUAUAUUUUAUUUAUUGUACCUUUUGUAUCAGGGUUUAUCAAAAUUUUAGUAUUUAAUUUACUUGUCUCGAAUUKGGGUKGAUUUAWAAAWAAUUUAUAGUUAAKGUAYCAWAAUUAUWAUWAAAUUAUUUAKGGAAAUGAAAKGUUAAUCGUUYCCCAAGAUAUCUAGUUUCUUAAGAAAAAUUUUAAUUUUUUAAAGUUAAUUGUUUUUAUUUAAUUUUUUAAUUAUAAAUAUUAACUUAUUUAUUCUUUAAGGGAUAAGCUUUGAAGUUAAUAACCUAUAAUUUGUUUUAUAAAAUAUAAUAGUAAGCUUUAAACCAGCUAUCUUUAAGAUUACGUUUUAGUUCAUUAUUUUCUAUUUUGAUUUUAUAAUUAUUUUAGGUUUUUUAUUARGAUUAUUUAUUUAAUUUUAAAAUUUUUGUAAUAAUGAUAGAAUUAGUAUAUUUACUUGUAUAUAAUUUUUACCUUGUGAAUUUAUAAUAAGGAACUAGGCAAAAUUGAUUUCCGCCUGUUUAUCAAAAACAUGUCCUCUUGAAAAUACUUUGAGGUCUGGCCUGCUCACUGAGCGGAUUUUUAAAGAGCCGCGGUAUUUUGACCGUGCAAAGGUAGCAUAAUCAUUAGUCUCUUAAUUAGUGGCUGGAAUGAAUGGCUUGACGAGAAAUCAACUGUCUCUUAAUAAAUUUUUGAAUUUAACUUUUGAGUCAAAAGGCUUAAAUUUUUCUUUAGGACGAGAAGACCCUAUAGAGCUUAACAUUUUACUUUUAUAUAGUUUUUUGUUUGUCUUUCUAUAUUUAAUGAUGAUGUUUUGUUGGGGUGACAUGAAGAAUAAAUAAACUCUUCAUUAUUAUAUCAUUUAUUUAUGUUUGUUGUUUUGAUCCAUAAUUUAUGAUCAUARGAUUAAGUUACCUUAGGGAUAACAGSGUAAUUGUUUUUGAGAG
rnacentral:rRNA from 1 species